rnacentral:misc_RNA from 1 species
AACGUAGGACGCAAACGUUAUCCGGAAUUAUUGGGCGUAAAGAGCUCGUAGGCGGUCCAGUAAGUCGGAUGUGAAAUCUCCAGGCUCAACCUGGAGAGGCCAUCCGAUACUGCUGUGACUAGAGUCCGGUAGGGGAGUGCGGAAUUCCCGGUGUAGCGGUGAAAUGCGCAGAUAUUGGGAGGAACACCAGUGGCGAAGGCGGCACUCUGGGCCGGAACUGACGCUGAGGAGCGAAAGCGUGGGGAGCGAACAGG